UUUAUUUUUUUCUGUCGGACCCAUUAUCGGUAUCCUAAUCAUUUUCCCUUUAAGAAAGUUGCUUGCAGCCAUUUCAGAGACAGAGAGAUAUAGAGAGUCGUUGACUCAUUUGUGCCUGUAUCCUCAGGCUAACGUUUCGUGGAUUGCGAGGUACUAGUUCCGCUUUUCGUCUCACCUGGACGCUGUUUCUUAGCAAUGGAUAAUGAGUAUAAGAUCAAGGCUAAAUUUGGAGAUACUCUGAAGCUUGUGAAAUUUUUGGAUCAUUCUCAAUUUGACAUGCCUAUGUUGAGGGGGAAAAUCCAUGAUUUAUUUAAUAUCCCUGAUGAUGCUGACUUUACCCUGGCAUAGACUGAUUAUGGUGGUGAUGAGGUACCAAUUUCUGAUGAUGAAGAUCUGAGAAAGGCGGGUAGCCUGGGCAAGGUCAUUGUGCAACUGAGCAACAACAAAGGUGUUAAAUCCUAUGCACCAUCUGGUGAAAGCAUUUCUACCCUACUUACUUCUCUUCAAGUCCAGCAUCCAUGUCCGAAUAUCAAAACCGGAGUCAUUGCUGAGGGUUUACAAUCUGUGCCACAACAGAUCUGUGAAGCACUUAAACUGCAUGAAGCACUUUUAAAGAUUUCAGAGGAUAUAGUUUCUAAAGCUAUCACUGUUCCUGUUCUUGAUGAGCUUGCUGAUUUUAUUUCAAAGAAGACACAAUCCUACCUCAAUCUGGAUUCGCAAAGUACUCAAUCUCGUGCAGACUCGACUACACAGAAUAAAAUAAAUAAAUAAAAAUAAAUAAAAAAACUACACAAAAUGUGGCUGAUGGUUCAAAACUUCGAAAACCCUAUGGAGACUCGUAUGAAAAUUAGGGAGGGGGUAAGUUUUAAGUUUUCUUUUGGGGAGAGCACGAUAAAUUUUUCAAUAUUAGCUUUUGUUUUUGUAGUUUUGUUAAAUAACUUUGAUUGUAUGGUAGCCUGCAUGGAAUGCAUGACAAUGAAAUGGAAGAGAGGCUGAUGAACAAAACCGCAGUAGUAUGCUGCAAUGGAUCUCUUAGUGGGAACGGGAAGAAGGCUCAAGUUGAAGGCUCUUUACCAUAUAAUAUGUAAUUUAUAUAUAAGAAGCAUGCCAUGAUGAAAUGUGUGAUGUAUAAUAUUGCUAGAUAAUCUCGUGAUUUUAUGCUAUUGUGGUUAAGCUUUUACAUUAACAAUAUUAAUGAUUUAGACUUUACUA